CAGCCGCCGCGGUAAUACGUAGGUGGCAAGCGUUGUCCGGAAUUAUUGGACGUAAAGCGCGCGCAGGCGGAUAGGUCAGUCUGUCUUAAAAGUUCGGGGCUUAACCCCGUGAUGGGAUGGAAACUGCCAAUCUAGAGUAUCGGAGAGGAAAGUGGAAUUCCUAGUGUAGCGGUGAAAUGCGUAGAUAUUAAGAAGAACACCAGUGGCGAAGGCGGCUUUCUGAACGGCAACUGACACUGAGGCUCGAAAGCCAGGGGAGCGAACGGGAUUAGAUACCCCCGUAGUCCCUGUCUCUUAUACA
rnacentral:rRNA from 1 species